rnacentral:rRNA from 1 species
GAACGCUGGCGGCGUGCUUAACACAUGCAAGUCGAACGGUGAAGCAGGAGCUUGCUCUUGCGGAUCAGUGGCGAACGGGUGAGUAACACGUGAGUAACCUGCCCUUGACUCUGGGAUAAGCGUUGGAAACGACGUCUAAUACCGGAUACGAGCUUCAGCCGCAUGGCUAGGAGUUGGAAAGAAUUUUGGUCAAGGAUGGACUCGCGGCCUAUCAGGUUGUUGGUGAGGUAAUGGCUCACCAAGCCUACGACGGGUAGCCGGCCUGAGAGGGUGACCGGCCACACUGGGACUGAGACACGGCCCAGACUCCUACGGGAGGCAGCAGUGGGGAAUAUUGCACAAUGGGCGAAAGCCUGAUGCAGCAACGCCGCGUGAGGGACGACGGCCUUCGGGUUGUAAACCUCUUUUAGCAGGGAAGAAGCGAAAGUGACGGUACCUGCAGAAAAAGCACCGGCUAACUACGUGCCAGCAGCCGCGGUAAUACGUAGGGUGCAAGCGUUAUCCGGAAUUAUUGGGCGUAAAGAGCUCGUAGGCGGUUGGUCGCGUCUGCUGUGAAAUCCCGAGGCUCAACCUCGGGUCUGCAGUGGGUACGGGCCAGCUAGAGUGCGGUAGGGGAGAAUGGAAUUCCUGGUGUAGCGGUGGAAUGCGCAGAUAUCAGGAGGAACACCGAUGGCGAAGGCAGUUCUCUGGGCCGUUACUGACGCUGAGGAGCGAAAGCGUGGGGAGCGAACAGGAUUAGAUACCCUGGUAGUCCACGCCGUAAA